GGCGUCACCGCGCCUCCUUUCGCCGCGCCUCUCCUUUCACGAACAUUCCACGCGCCUAACGAUUAUUAUUUGUUUACACGCGCAAGAUUAACCUGUAACCUCGAUACUGUGAUGCACAGCGGGUAGCGAAAAUACUCGACAGCAUACAUUUGCAAUUUUUGAUGAACGGGAUAUAAUACGUUAAGGAAACUUGUUUGAGACAGUGAGAGGUGAUGAGUAGGAAAUCUAAAGAUUGUGUCGACAAAACAAUUCAAUUUGUGCAGGAGUUGUAAUACGUUUAUUAUAUACACGCACUCAAUUAAUUAGAAAAGCAUUCGAACGCUUCAUAUAUUACGGUAUUAUUUACAUUAUUUACAACAUUGAUAUUUUGUUACGUUUACUGGCAUGUGCUUUGAAGAUAUUUGAAAUUUGUUAUCUGGAUUCUGCGCUGGAGGAUUUAAUGUAUGGGAUAUAUUGUAUACAAUCCACGUAUGUUCAGGAUUAUAAUUCCAACUUGGCCACUAUUUUUGAAAUUAUUUUUUAGAAUAUAUAUAUACAUAUAUUUUUAUCGAGUACACGUACAAUCGUAAAAUUAAAUAAACAGAUUUAGUGAGCAACAAAAAGUUAAUUCAUUUAAACUCUAUUGAUCUAUUUUAUUGACCACUUAAAGUUAAUAAAAUAUAAUAUAAAAAUUCAAUUAUAUAAUAAAAAGAAUGUAUUAUAAUUUAUAUUAUUUAUACAAAAUCACAUAAAAUUGAAUGACAUACAUAAA